UGUAUAUAACUUAAUAUGGGUUUACGGUUCAAAAUGCAUCUUGCAGAGUAGAUAACAGAGAAUUCGGUGAGAAUCCGAAGCAACAGUCAUUACUGUAUUUGGCAUUGCCAUAAGUCAGGUCGCUGUCCGUAUGCCUCGGAUUUU
rfam:Ruminococcus sp. CAG:108 genomic scaffold, scf339